CAUGUGGUUAAUUCGAUGAUACGCGAGGAACCUUACCUGGGCUUAAAUGCAGAGUGCAUGGAGUGGAAACACUUCUUCCCUUCGGGGCUCUUUGCAAGGUGCUGCAUGGUUGUCGUCAGCUCGUGCCGUGAGGUGUCGGGUUAAGUCCCAUAACGAGCGCAACCCUUAUCGUUAGUUGCCAGCGGGUAAAGCCGGGAACUCUAGCGAAACUGCCGGUGUAAACCGAGAGGAAGGUGGGAUGACGUCAAAUCAGCACGGCCCUUAUGUCCAGGGCUACACACGUGUUACAAUGGCCGGUACAGAGGGCAGCUACCUGGAGACAGGAUGCGAAUCUCGAAAGCCGGUCUCAGUUCGGAUCGGAGUCUGCAACUCGACUCCGUGAGGCUGGAUUCGCUAGUAAUCGCGCAUCAGCCAUGGCGCGGUGAAUACGUUCCCGGGCCUU
rnacentral:rRNA from 1 species